UUUCUUUCUCUUGUCAGAUUGCUAUGGCUAGGACUUCCAAUGCUAUGUUAAAUAGAAGUGGUGAGAUUGGGCAUCUUUGUCUUCUUCCUGAAUUUAGAGAAAGACUGUCAACUUUUCACUGCUGACUAUGAGGACAAGAGCAAAGACCACCCUCUGCAGAAACUUAGGAAUUAUGUACAGAAUUUUACAGGACAGAGGACAACACUUUAGCUGAAGCCUGUCUGCUGACCAGAGAAGGGUGUUCUGAGUGGACUCAGCAAAGAAAAGGAAAUCAGGCAGGGAAGGAUGUGAUGGCUGGAGCUUGAGCAGCCUGCUUGAUGGUAGAAGCUGCAUCUUCAGGAUGGUGAAGCCACAAGAUAGAAGGAGCCUGUGUCCAUGAUGAUGAGAGAGCCACCAUAUCAACCCUACACUGCCUACACAUACAUGAGAGGGAUACACUUUAUUUUGUUUAAGUUAGCGUUAUUUUGAGUUUUUAACUGCAACAGAAACCAAUCUUUCCAUUAAAAUAUGUUACUUAGGAAAAUUUUCUGGUGGCCAAUAACAGGAAUCCAUUCAAAGAAGAAUGGGGGAAUUAUUUUAAGGAUAUAGGAUUGUUUUCAGAACCCAUGGGCAGGGAUGAAAGAAGACUCAGGAAUAGACCUGAACCUGGGACUGAAACAUUGUGGGGAAGCUAGGAGGUCUUCUCGUUGUGUCUCAUCUCUCCUUCUCUUCCCUCUUACUGCAGAUUAUUUAUGUACCUGGUGUAGAGAAGCAGUAAAUAAAUAUUUGUUUAACGGAUGGCAA